CCUCGUAGGCUGGGACUCUGUUGGACAUCAGCAGUAAGAGGGAUGGAGCGGGACAGAGGACAGCAGGGACUGAGUGUGAAGCUGCAGGUCUGCAGAGACUCUAUCACCUGCUCAGAGUCGAGACUUGGACUCUCUCCAGGCUUUGAGAUGUAGAUAGGCCUCCCAGGUCCAAGCUGAGAUCAAGGCUGGAGGACCCCACAGUCUUUUGAGGCCAUGAGAGAGCGGGCCAAGACGUGAGUGUCAGACUGGAGCUGAGCCUUCCUGUCAGAGUACCUCUGGCUCCUUCUUGCCUUGUGUUGCUGCCCCAGGCUCUCCUGGUUCUCACAGAUUCUCCUUCUCCCCUGUGCUCUGUCGGCUGAGGGUCCCGUACUGCUCAGCCGCCUCUCGAGGGGUCAGCCAGUCCAGCGUGGAGACGCAGGAGACGUAGUGGUUCUUCCAUGCUCCAAAUUCCUUCUCUCCGGGAGUGUAGGGAAGGAACCAGCCUCUCCUGAUGCUGCGGCCAGCCCAGAGACAAUCCUCGAGGACUCUCCAGUGCCAGCUGACCUGAGCAGCAGAGCAGAGAUCACGAGGGGACAGAAAUGACAUCACGUACAGGGACAGGAACCGAGGCAGCACUGCAGUGAAGUCCAGAUCAAACCAGUGCAGCACCAGGUUCAUCCUCUCCUCGAAUAACUGAGAACAUGAAAGAGAAGUCAGUUUGUAAAACAUGUAUGGAAGAUGCAGGCUGUUGCAUGAGAAGCUUUCUGCUUGGCCAGAAACUACAAUGGUGGUUUUGAAUACAUGAAGACUGCAUUUUCUCUCUAAGAAUAAAGUUGAUACAAUUUAAAUGCCGCCACUCUGAUGCUUUACCUUUUUUUUUUUUUUAAAGUUAAAACUUAUUCACAAGAUGCACAUGGAUUUAGCUUUAUGGUAAAAUCAUGUCUCUAAGUAACGGGCAGCCUGGGUUCAGAUCCAGCCUGCAGCCUCUUUCCUGCAUGUCAUUCCCUAACAACUUGUACUACUUUAUAUCUAUGAACUGCUUUUAUAAAAGUCUGCUUUUUGUGAAAUAAAGGAUUGAUUAAAAAUGCA